rnacentral:rRNA from 1 species
UACGAAGGGGGCAAGCGUUGUUCGGAAUUACUGGGCGUAAAGCGCACGUAGGCGGCUUUGCAAGUCAGAGGUGAAGGCCCGGGGCUCAACCCCGGAAUUGCCUUUGAGACUGCAUCGCUAGAAUUGUGGAGAGGUAAGUGGAAUUCCGAGUGUAGAGGUGAAAUUCGUAGAUAUUCGGAAGAACACCAGUGGCGAAGGCGACUUACUGGACACAUAUUGACGCUGAGGUGCGAAAGCGUGGGGAGCAAACAGG